GGAGAAAGUGAGUUGAGC
rnacentral:piRNA from 1 species